rnacentral:lncRNA from 1 species
UGGCUGUGGCCCACUCACAUGUGAGCUUUACCACUUCACCCAGACUCUGCUGGCUUUAAUGUUGAUCUUACUUAAAAAUAACCCACUGAGCAAGGGCAGGGACCGAACCUAAAAUAACAUCUAAAAUAGUGUUGGACCAAAUGUGUGAGUAUCCUGGCCUCACCAAGGUGACACAUGAAAUCAUCCGGCAUAGAGGGGCUAUCUCCUUUGAGAAAGUCAGUCGGUAAUUAUUUAUUCAGCAGCUGUGAAGGGCCUAGUAUGGGCCAGGUAUAGUGCAGGGUGUUGGGGAGUUCAUUGUAAAGCCAAGCAGAUCAAGUCCCCAUCCUCGGGGAGCUCAUAUGUGGGAAGUGGUCAAGAUAUUAAAACCAUUUGCACUUGGUUUCAUGCCUUCAAGAAGCACCGCAAAUAUGACUUGAGUCAGUCAAACCCAAUUUUCCUUAUAAUAUGGUAUCGGGUUUUAGUGAGGUUGUGUCUUCAUGGACUUUAUGGUCAAAAAGGACCUCAGAUGUGAAGCAUGUGAUGACUAUAAACACAUUUCAACAGUGAUACACAACAUGCUGUCCAUUAUAUAGUUUUCAGAAGCACAUGUAACUGUUUUUGAUGACAUGUGCUUUUGACAGUGAAGAUUAACAAAUUGUGUAUAAUUGUAUUUGAAAGAAAAUAGCCAGGGUGUGGAGAGCAUAGUUAUUUAAUUUUUCAUCGUUUCAUUAUUUUCAUGGCAAGAUAGAUAAAAGGACCACUUAAUGAAGGGGUCAGGAUUUUGGAAGAAUUGCUUUGGGAAGACUUAGGACUCCUAGGUGAUGUUUGCUUGUUUCUUUGGUUGCUUUAAGUUGUUUGCUUUCUUGGCUUCUUUUUUUAUUGCAUUUUUGGGGAGUUUGGGUUUUUUUGUUUUUGUUUUUUUUUAGUCUGAAGGAAGGGCAGGCAUUAGAAACAAAGGCAUUACUUCAUAUUGUGUAGAACUGAGAAUCCGUUAUCUUAAAAUGAUGAGAUUAUCUGGGCUGGCUUGCUAGGUGCUGUAGCAGCCAUGGGCAUAGGAGUGUUGCACGUGUAAUCUACACUCUAAGAGUAUCAGUGUUAGGAUAUUUACUACACCACGAGCACCACCAGCUAGGGGUAGUAAUGCAAUCAAAGCUUUCGAAAGCAUCAUCCCGGAGUUCCUGUUGUGGCGCAGUGGUUAAUGAAUCCGACUAGGAACCAUGAGGUUGCAGGUUCGGUCCCUGCCCUUGCUCAGUGGGUUGACGAUCCGGCGUUGCCAUGAGCUGUGGUGUGGGUUGCAGAUGUGGCUCGGAUCCCGCGCUGCUGUGGCUCUGGCGUGGGCCAGCAGCUAUAGCUCUGGGGACCUCCAUAUGCCGCAGGAGCGGCCCAAAGAAAUAGAAAAAAAGACCCCCCCAAAAAAAAUCGCAUUUAAAAAGUAGUUAAGUGAGAGUUCCCUCACGGCUCAGUAGGUUAAGGAGCGGCGGUAGAUUCACGAUGGUCUUCAUAGAGUAGGAACGAUGUGGAAAAGCAUGAGGAGGUGGUGUUGGGAAGGAAAGAUGGCCUGAGCAGAGGGGCAAGGCCCCUGGGCCUCAUGCACUUCUGGAGAUCAGCAAGCCGAUCCCUGGACCAGGGUGGAAGCCACCCCAUUCCAUCCCAUCCCACCCCGGGCCCCCAGACGAGUGGGCGGCAGCCUGGCAAUCGGUUACGAAAGUAAGAAGCCCACCUGCUUGGGCCGCCCAUGCUAUAGGCACAAAACAGACUUUUCCCCAGGAAAGCCAACUGAAUCUGCUCUAGUAUUUUAGAAGCAGAUUGAUUGAAAAACAGAGUUCCGCUUCAUAGAGCAGAGCAAAGAAUAUUUUGGGCCUGAACAUUUUUUUCAGAGAAAAUGUUGCUGGCUGUUUGCUUUGGCCAUAGGAAAACUUCAGUAAUACUUUUGUGUGGUGUCUUUACUCUAAGCAGGCCAGGCCAGUGGUUCAGGGACUGGCCCUCCUGGCUUCCUACCAAGAUGAUUUAGCAGAGAGAUGUGUCUAUUUCAUAGUUAAACAAAGUGGUACCCAGGAAAAAGGUUUUUCGUAUACACCAAUUAACAUCGCCAACAAUAAUAUUCCCUGAAUACCCAAUUAGAGAAGUGUUGGUCUCUUCCAUGUCAUGUUUUCUCUCUGCUGAAUAAUUUCUUUCUUAACAGCAUAGAAAAUCUUCUUGGCCCAACACGCUCUAUUUGAGUUCGACCCAGCACACGUUUCUUUCUUUCGAGGCUAUUUGAGACAAAAUUGUGCGUGUUAUUGAAAAUGUGAACAUAAUCAGAAUGUCCCAUCUGGGGUGUCCUUAUUAUAAUUUGACAGUCCACUCUUUAAAAGACCAUGGCACUGUUCAAAAAGAAUAAAGCUGAUGUAUAUACCAAGACAUUAAAAAAGUGAGCCAAAUUCAAAGCAACAAAUACUAUAGAACAUAUAAUAUAAGCCCAUUUUUAAUGAAGUGAUCAUUAUUAUCUAUCUCCUUGGUUUUUUUUUUUUUUUCUUUUUAAGUGAUAGUUGGCAUUCAAGAAAGGGGCAGAACCAGGAGGGCCAGAGGAAAGUGUGGGAUGCUUGAGAGGCAGCUCUGGAGCCAACCGCCUGGGCUAGAAUCCCACCUCUACCACCCACCCACUGUGUGGUCUUGAGCAACUCACUCUACCUUUCUGUUUCUCAUGUUUGCGUCUGCAGAAAGGAGCUAAUAACAGUCCCUCCUUACUGGGUUGUUUUGAAGGUUUUAUGAAUCAGUCCGCAGUUUUGAGUGUUCUCUAAGUCAAUGUAGAAUAUACGCCAAGUACCCAAAGCAAUAUCUGAUUCAUUAAAUGCUUGAUACAUAUUAGCUGGUAGGAGGAAGAGGAGGUGAGAGAAUAAGGUUUCAAAAAGGAGAAGGAGCCUAAAGGAAAGAGAAUUCCAGAAGAAGGUGACCUUGGCAAAUAUACAGAUGUCUUCUAGGAUGAAGGAAACUGAUUGAAUUCCGUUCAGCCUCUGUAAAGAAGGUCAGAAGGGUACGUAUUUCACUACCUAAGUGAUAAACAAGGUCACAGAGGUCCAAGGGUUGAAAUAUAAGAAGGAUUUUUUUAAAGUUAGCUUUCCUUCGUUAUCAUGUAGACCUACGUUUCAGUCAUCAGUGAGCAAAUACUGAUGGAGGCCUUAGAAGGGGCUGGGCACUUCGGGAAACCAGCCCAAUAGCCCUGCCAGCCUGGAGCUAUUUUUCGAGUGGGUUUAAAGUUGGAAAACUAUUGCGAUCGUUUGUCUCAUCAUGUGUGGAUGUGUAAUGUGCCUGAGUGUUAUGGUAGCUACCUCAGAGUGAUUCAUUAGUAACUAGGAAAAAAAAUCAUGGUAUUACCUUUAAAACAUAGACAACUCUUGAUUUUCUGUGCUAAUGAGGAAUCACAGGAACACAUAUAGUUGAUAAAUUAUGUUUGUUUUACCUGUACGUUCAGGAAAUCAUCAGUUUGGCCUUUGCGGUUUAAAGCCUGUCUCCAUCCGUUUGGAUUUCUGGUUGUCCUCCAUCCCCGCCCCUCCUGCCUAAUUUGCAAACGGUCACGUGGGCCCAGGGGAGCGUGGAGAAGCCGCUGUCAGGUGAUCACCGUUAGGUUCGAAGUGGUGUCUUGGUCCCUGAGUGGGGUGACCUUGGCAAAUACCUUAUCACCUUCUCCAAUAAAAUAAACGCAAGCGAGUCCCUGAACCACCGGGGCUUUCAGUUACUACCCCUGCCCACCCUGAAGAGGCCUGGUGAGAGCCAAGAGCCUAUCUUGUAAAUCUCUGAUUAUUCAGACAGGAAAGCCAGACAUUUCCUAGUUUAGCAGAAUUAAAAUGUGAAGGGUGCUGUCUGGGAGGUGCCAAAACAGCUGGAAGCCAAAUUUAAGAAAUUAGAAUAAUUAGUUGGUCCCAAAGGGUAUCCUUCACUGUUAGAAUUGCAUUGCCAAGGAUUGAGCUGGGGAGUUUGGCCUCCAGGGAAGAGUUAACAAAUCAGACAGGAACAUUACAAAAAUUUCCACUGAAAAAGAAGUUCCUUGGAAGUGGAGCUGAGAGGCUUGCUAAUUGCAGCUUACUCUAAGCCUAAUGACAGCCCUGCAGCUUCCGUGAAGAAAGCACAGGACGUUUGAAUGAUGGUGAGGGGAGAGGGGACUCCGGGCAGAUGGAUCCGAAUCAACCGGGCAAAAUGAGUCCUUUAGACUCUGACCCCUUUUGGAGUGAACUGCAUUGGGAGAGGAGUCAAGUUUGCUUUCUCCAAGAUUCUUAACCAACAGUAAAGAUUGAUAAAACACAUUUUCCAGAAGUUCAACCAUAUAAUAACUUUAGCAGGCACAUCAUAAUCCACUGCCUCGAUUUCAAACAUUUCCUUGAUGUAGGGUGAUCACGGUGGAAAGGAAUGUUAUUCUUCUCCAGCCAUUGGGAAGAUUUUGUCGUCCUUAAUCCCAGAAACUAAAUCACUGGCUACUUCAGAGGCUCUGAUCUGAAUCUUAAUUGAUGCCCAUUGCCUUUUUUAGACUCCUAUGUUUGAUUUUAACCAGACAGAUCCAGGAGGAAGGAUUCAGGUGGCCGUGAUGGAGAAAGGGUAAUAUUUUGGCCAGUCAUAUGGUGAGCCUAUUCCAAAACCCUUUCCAUUUAUAAUGUAACUCUGUAGGGCUUUCCUCCUGAGGUAGCCCUCCUUUCGUGACAUCCAGUGCAGUGGAAACUAGGUUUUCGUUUUCUGUUUGAUUGUCCCCUUCAGUCUUGAUGCUAGUUAACGUCGUUGGAUCGUAACAUUAUUAGCUAACAUUUGGGUGCUGAUUUACACAUAAUUCCAUAGGCCUGUUGACCCGCAUCAACUUAAUUAAUGUUCACGAGAGCCCUAGGGAGUAAAUCAUUCUAUCUUCCACGCUCCAGAUGAUGAAACUAAGGAGACGCAGGUGGUAUAGGUAAAGUGACUUACGCCAGGUUGGUCAAGUGACCCUGUGACUGUGCUGUAACUGAAAGCCCAGUCUUUUAACUAAGUCGUUUGCUUAAAGUCGUUCAUCUAAGGACUAAGCAGCUCCUUUCAGUGGAUUCUUCCAGCAUAGAUGCUUUUGGUGUGAAGACACUGCUUUUUCUUAGGGGAAGAAUUAUCUAUUUAAAGAUCGGAGGCUUUUCAUUUUAUUUCCAUCUCUCCCACAUUGCUUUUAAAGUGCUGACCACCAAGAGCGAGGAUUUUCCAUGGACGAAGCUACCAUAUGUGUGAAGCAAUCUUUGGAUACCACCAGUUUUUCUUCCUAAAUCGCAUUUCCUUUUUCUGGCACUUGUUAUGACCAAGUCCUCUUUUCAAAUACUUGACAUCCAUGAGCUCCUUCCAAAUUCACUUUUAUCAAAAUGUACUUGUAAGGGAAGUUCCCAUUGUGGCUCAGUGGUUAAUGAACCCGACUAGCAUCCACGAGGACACGGGUUCAAUCUCUGGUCCUACUGAGUGGGUUAAGGAUCCAGCGUUGCCGUGAGCUAUGGUGUAGGUGGCAGAUGAGGCUCAGAUCCCGCGUUGCUGUGGCUGUGGUGUAGGCCAGCGGCCACUGCUCCGAUUGGACCUCUAGCCUGGGAAUUUCCAUAGGCCUCAGGUGCGGCCCUAAAAAUACAAAAAGACCCCAAAAAAAUGUGCCUGUAGGAUAGGACUUGAUCUCAUUGAUUUCAGUUGAUAGAAUGCCAAGCCGUUACUCUCCUGCAAGCCAUGUUUUUUACUGUGAAAGAAAUCUGCUUCUCUAGUAAAGGGGGUUUCGAGGAGUAGAGGGAUGAGGUUUUAAAAUACAGCAUCUUCCUUUAUUCUCGAAAUUCUAUCAUGUAGAGGUACUGUGCUUUAGCCAACUCAGCUCUAGCUAGGACAUCUUGAUCCCCCAACUAGGGUGUCAUAGCAACUUGCUGUACGUUUUCUGUGAUGUAGAGAGAACAGGCAUUUAGCAGAAGGCUGUUUUUCUUCGAAGCCAGUGCAAGAAGAGGUCAGUGGAAUGCUGGGGCCGUUUAGUUUCCUCGGUGGAAAGAAACAGAAAGUUUCUGCAUUAAUUAGAAGGUCUGAGAGGGAGCAAGGGGUAAGGGCGAUUGAGAAAUAACUGCAGCAAACAGAAUGCUAGGUAUUCUGUGUGAGAGCGUGUUCCAUUUGGGAAUGGGUGAGAAUAGAAAAUACUGUGACCAUCGUGAAAGGGGCACAGCUAAAACUGCCCCUCCUUGCCCAGCUUCAGCCCCAGUUGAACCUGCUCUACUCAUUCCAUCUCGGUCACUGCAGUGCCCAGCACCUCCAAGUUAGACACCAGGAGUCCACAGAGUAGGCAAGGAAAGGGGAGAGAAGGUGUAGAAGCUCCAUUUGGCUCUUCAGAAAAAAAGUUUUAUAAUAAAUAUUAUUGUUAAAAAUAGCGCAAUGAAUUCCAUACCGUGCCCAUCCCUUUCCCGCCUCGUGGAUGUUUCAGCUUUUUGGAGAUAUUCUACUUGUCACUGAGCUGUGGGAAGUGUAGAGUAGAUUUCCUGAUUAGCAGGUGGAAGGAUAGACAGUUGGUGCAUAAAAAAAUAAUAAUGGUUUUAUUGAGCACUUAGUAUGUUCUGAGCAAACACACCACCGUUGACUCACAAUCACCCAAUGAAGGAAGUAGUAUUACUAUAAUUCUGGAGCCCCCAAAGGAGUUAGAAGCCAAGGGCUCAGGAACCAACCCUCUUGGUUCAAAUCCUGGUUGCACUCUGUGCCUGCUGUGUGACUUUAAGACAGUUACUUAACCUCUCCAUGAAUCAGCUUCGUCACCUUUAAAACUGGGUACCAAUGUCACACAUCUGUGUCAGGGUCUCCUAGCCCACCCCCAGUUUCAGUGACUCACCUAGGAGGACUCAUAGGACUCAGCAUGUGAUCUUACCCACAACUAAGAUCUGUUAGGUCAAAUGGAAAAUUAAAAUCAGCAAAAAGGAAGGCACAUAGGGAAAAGUCCAGAGGUAACCAGGCAGAAGCUACCAAGAUUCAUCUCCCACUGGAGUCACACAGGACAUACAUAAUUAUUCCUGCAAUGAAUUAUGACAGGUGUGCCGCAGUGUCCACCCGGGAAGCUCAGUGGAGACUUAGUGCUGGAAUUUUGACUGAGGGCUGGUCACUUGGGCACCCUCUUUGUGGCACAUACCAAAAUUCCAGACUCCCAGAAGAGAGUAGGUGCUUAGCAUAAACCCCAUUGUUUGCACGGUUAGGUACAGUGAGUAACUCCUAUCAGGAAAUAAUAGGAGGCCUCCUGAAAUCCAAGUUCCCGGAUACCUGUUAAGAGUCAACCUUAUAGGAGUUCCUGCAGUGGCACAGUGGUUAACGAAUCCAACUAGGAACCAUGAGGUUGCGGGUUCCAUCCCUGACUUUUCUCAGUAGGUUAAGGAUCCAGCAUUGCCGUGAGCUGUGGUGUAGGUCGCAGACACGGCUCGGAUCCCGUGUUGCUGUGGCUGUGGCAUAGGCCCACGGCAGCAGCUCUGAUUAGACCCCUAGCCUGCGAACCUCCAUAUGCUGAGGGAAGUGGCCCUAGAAAAGGGAAAAUAAAAAGAGUCAACCUUAUAAGCAAGGCUUUCUAAAGAUAGCAGCUUCAGGCCAGCUGUGUUAACUCCGUUUUGCACAUCACCUCAUUGGAUUAUUGAGAAAUUAGAUGACGUAAUAUAUCCAUGUUUACAACAGUGCUUUAUACUUAGGAAGCCCUAAAAAUUUUUGUAGCCAUUAUUGGUAAAUGGGAAAAAUUACUGAAGCUUAGAAUGACUGCAGAGUCAGGCCUAUCUGUAAUCUGAAUUUACAUCUACCUGACUUAAAAAGAUCUAUGCAUUUACUCACUUCACUCAAGCAGAAACAAAAUAGCAUCCUUCAGACUUCCGCUAGGAAUGGAGAUAGUGGAUCCCUCCUUUCUCAGAUUUGUAGUUGAUGGGGUCUGUAAGUGUAGCUGUUUUGAAAAUAUAGCUUUCUCUAGCUACAAGUAAUAUCACACCAUGGUGCAGAAUUCUAAUUAGUUAAACCUACUCCUAGAGUGUAGACAUGAUCUAGUACUUUACUGCCCUAAAUGAGCAUAUUUUGGAUGUACCACAGUCUUUCUCUUCCACUCGAUUCGGAAUGCUUUGUUUAUGUCUCUAAUUUUUCAGAAUACCCUAAUACUCUUAAGAAUUUUCUUUUGUAAGAUCUAGAUAGAGAGUUUCCGCUGUGGCUCAGCAGUUUAAGAACCCAAC